GCUGCUACCUGCGACGUCGAGUGCAACUUCACGUAGACGUACCGUGGCCGUAGGGCGUAUUACUCGUGCAUAACGUGACUAUUUGGUUCGAACGAGCUCAGGGAAAACGUGAGCUAAUACCGAAAGAGCGCUUCAGGCGGAAAGAUUUAUCGCCGUUAAAGCGGCCCGAGUCUGAUUAGCUAGUUGGUGAGGUAAAAGCUCACCAAAGCGACUAUCAGUAGCUGGUCUGAGAGGAUGACCAGCCACACUGGGACUGAGACACGGCCCAGACUCCUACGGGAGGCAUCAGUGGGGAAUCUUGCGCAAUGGGCGAAAGCCUGACGCAGCCAUGCCGCGUGAAUGAUGAAGGUCUUAGGAUUGUAAAAUUCUUUCACCGGGGACGAUAAUGACUGUACCCGGAGAAGAACCCCCGGCAAACUUCGUGCCAACAACCGCGGUAAUACUAAGGGGGCUAGCGUUGCUCCGAAUUACUGGGCGUAAAGGGCGCCUACGCGGAUCGUUAAGUCAGAGGUGAAAUCCCAGGGCUCAACCCUGGAACUGCCUUUGAUACUGGCGAUCUUGAGUAUGAGAGAGGUAUGUGGAACUCCGAGUGUAGAGGUGAAAUUCGUAUAUAUUCGGAAGAACACCAGUGGCGAAGGCGACAUACUGGCUCAUUACUGACGCUGAGGCGCGAAAGCGUGGGCGAACAAACAGGAUUAUAUACCCGGGUAGUCCACACACUAAAACAAAGAUUGCUAAGUUGUCCGGGGU
rnacentral:rRNA from 1 species